rnacentral:lncRNA from 1 species
UGCAAUUUUGGGAAGGAUUUUCUUUUUCUGGAAGCAAAGCUUAUAUACUCAAUAGCAGAACACUUAUGUGGGUUUUUUCCAUUGUUCUUAGCUGCUAUAUAAUUUGAAAUAAAAUAGUGAACAGAUGGAUUGUUUUUUAUCAAGAUAUUUAAUGGAGUAUUGAAUUUUACUGAUUUUCCAUGCUAUCAAGAUUGUAUGAGGGAACACCUGUUGCCAAUGGGGG